rnacentral:lncRNA from 1 species
AUGUUAUCUGCUAAUCGCUGGAGUGCUGCUUCUUACUUUGCUUAUCAUCAUUAUUGCAGUCUCAGCCAGAAAAUGAGAUUGAGACCACAGGUUGACUCUAAGUCCUGGAUAACUGCUUUAAGAGACCCAUGUAGCAACGUGUACCAAAUCAUGUUUGCAGAACCUCUGUUUUUUAGAGAAAGGAGUGGUGAAAGGGAGGGUUUCAGUGCCAUAACAGACUAUAAGCUCAGGAGAGUUUGCCAGCUUGUGUGCUAGGGACCGGCUCCAAAUCUGCAUAGAUUUAUAGAGAAUUAACAGCUCUGAAUCUAUGUAAACAUGGGCC